rnacentral:lncRNA from 1 species
GGUGUUACGGGACCCUGUAGGAGUAUGGAGACCCUGCAGGUUUUUCAGAGAAGCGCAGAUCCACCCACUGCCGCCAAACAGGAAGAGGGGUUGUCCGCACAGGAAGUGCAGAUACGGUAUGGCACUGCUCACUCAGCCUUUCACCUCCAGCUGCAGAGGAACAGCCAGCGCCUGUCAGCCCAGCUCCCCCAGGGCCCUGCCACGCUCCAUGUUCUGCACACGCUCCUCCAAGACCUCCAGGUCAGUGCCAGCACCUCCCCACCUCCUCCUCUGCUCCUCACACUCAGUUCUUAGCUGUGGAUCAAAGCAAGUGCUUGGCAGGGACUAGAAGGCCUUGCGGUGUGCAUUGGCAGUUUAAAGUCAGUGCUGAGAAAAGAGCUUUGUUGCACUUAACUAAAGGGGUAUUUCGUUUGUGACACACAUACUGUUGCUUCAGGCCAAGCCACCAACGUUGUAAAUGCCCUGAACUGUGAUACAUCAUCAGAGUAGCCAGAGUCUAAUAACAGUUCCCAUAUAUGUAUUUUGAUGAGAUGGUGCUUGUUUGAUGUUCAUACUUGUCUCACCGUUAUGUGGCUUGUUCGUGUUGAUGGUAUGCUGGAUGUGUGUGUGUGUUGGUGUGUUUUUCUGGUGGGUCUGUGAUGUAUGUGCAUACGUGUAUUCAUGUGUGUGUGUCUAUGUGUCUAUGUGGUGUGCGUACGUGUGUGUGUGUAUGUGUGUGUGUGUGUGUGUCUUUGUCUAUGUGGUGUGUGUAUGUGUGUGUGUGUCUAUGUGGUGUGCGUACGCGCGCGCGCGCGUGUGUGUGUGUGUGUGUGUGUGUGUGUGUGUGUAUGUGUGUGUCCAGGCUCUGAGACGAGAGACAGAGGCCCUGUGGUUUGAGUUUGAGCUGCAGUUCUCUCAGUGCGGCCCACAGAUGGAGGAGGUGGAGCAGAGCAGCCUGAGACGGGAGAGAACGGAGCUCAUCCAGCAGUGGAGAGCACAGCAGAUCUGUUUGCAGGCCAGGGUGAAAACUCUACAGACUGCUGUGACACUGAUGGAACCAGCAGACAUUCAGAUAGCCUUCAUCACUAACCGUCUGGACUACAUUACCCAGAAUCCACUUAACAUUACAGAAUUCACCAUCACUGACUCAGGAACCCUACGUGAGGACCUUAAGGUACAGAAUGAAUCUACCAAAUGAAUCAUAAUACAGCACAAAGCUAAAAGUA